rnacentral:rRNA from 1 species
AGCGAACGUUAGCGGCGGGCCUAACACAUGCAAGUCGAACGGGCUGUAGCAAUACAGUCAGUGGCGCACGGGUGAGUAACGCGUAGAUAAUCUACCUUCCGGCGGGGGAUAACAUUCCGAAAGGAAUGCUAAUACCGCAUAAGACCACGGGGUCCACGGGCCCUGAGGGAAAAGGUGGCCUCUCCUUGGAAGCCAUCACCGGAAGAUGAGUCUGCGUCCCAUCAGCUAGUUGGUAAGGUAAUGGCUUACCAAGGCGAAGACGGGUAGCUGGUCUGAGAGGAUGAUCAGCCACACUGGUACUGGAACACGGACCAGACUCCUACGGGAGGCAGCAGUGGGGAAUAUUGGGCAAUGGGCGAAAGCCUGACCCAGCCACGCCGCGUGAGUGAUGAAGGCCUCGGUUGUAAAGCGUCUGUGGGAAGGGGCGGAAAACGUACAGACCUAAUACGUCUGAGGUUGACGGUA